rnacentral:rRNA from 1 species
UACGAGGGGGGCUAGCGUUGUUCGGAAUUACUGGGCGUAAAGGGCGCGUAGGCGGUUUAACAAGUCAGGUGUGAAAGCCCUGGGCUCAACCCAGGAACUGCGCUUGAGACUGUUUUUCUUGAAUUCGGGAGAGGUGAGUGGAAUUCCCAGUGUAGAGGUGAAAUUCGUAGAUAUUGGGAGGAACACCGGUGGCGAAGGCGGCUCACUGGACCGACAUUGACGCUGAGGCGCGAAAGCGUGGGGAUCAAACAGG